ensembl:lncRNA
UGUAACUUCUGACUCCAACUUCGCAGAUUCCUGACAUGCUGCAGACUGAGGACAAGGAAUAUGCAGGCUCUGAAGGAUCUCUGACUAUAGAGAAUCCUGCAGUAAUUCACAUCUUAAGACGAGGAACUCUGUCUACAGAGAACCCAGAAAUACUUCAGGACUUUGAACAAUCAACUGUGUCUACAGAGAGUCAGGGGUUGAGACCAGGAACUCUAGUGUGAGGGUCAAGUGGCACAAAAGGACUGGUGUAUAUUUCUAUAGUUUAAAAUAUUUUUUCUCAUAGUCAUUACUUUGGACACUUUCUGCUGUCAUAACAUGUAAUCCCAAAAUGAACUAGUGUUAUAUAUUUUUAUUUAUGUAUUUUUAAAUAUUGUGGAAGCACGAUCAUCUUUUGGUUAACUUAGUCAGGGAUGUAAAAAACAUGGAUGGAGCAAAUAUCAGGUAUAAAGUCAGAGAAAAAUUAUCUCAACCCUCUAAACUCAAAAAGUCAUUUGUGUGUUAUUUCAACUGGACAACUAGUGUUUUUUUUGCCAUAAAUGCUUUGCAAGAGAUGUUGACCAUUCCUGAAUGGUUCAGGCUCUAAUGAUUUAAGGAAGGGUUUGAAUAAUGUUGUCCAUAAAAUACACACCACCAAAUGUAUUGACCUUGAACUCUUGACAAAAACACUGGAUAAAAGUUAGGCCUAUGAGAUGAAAUAGUCACAGCUGAUAACCACGCUUCCAACAGGUAUUGCCUGCGGGGUGUGAAAACACACACAUACAAUAAUUAAUCUAAAGUAAACUCAUUUCCAAGAAAUACAUAUUUGUUUAAUUUCGAAAAUGUGGAGUUAGAUGUAGGUGUGUGAUCAUUACAUUUGCAGGGAGAAAAAAUCAUGAAGACCCAGGGGAUGUGAAACCUUUGACUAGCCACAGUAUGGUUUGUUUUCUCUUUAUUUAUUAGUUUAAAUCAUAAGAUUUGCUUGAUGUAUUAUAACAGAGUAUUUAUUAUAUUUAUGCAUUCCGUAACCAGGAAAGAUCUUCUGUAAGGGCAGUGUCCACCUGACACAAACCUUAAGAAAAUAUUACAGCGUUCAAAUGUAAAGUAAAGCCAAUAAUUGUUGACUCUCAGGGUUUGUGAUAAUGUUAUAAAAUUUUUCUAUUUUAUAUUUGAUUAACUGUGGUAGCUUCUAAUUUUAAUUUCAACAUGUUUUCCCUUCUGUAAUCUCUGAUAGUAUGUAUUCUCAGAGGCUAGCCAUAGGUGGGCUACAGCCCAGACGUAUUGAAUACUAACCCACCCUAUCAAGCUGGC